GUGCCAGCAGCCGCGGUAAUACGGAGGGUGCAAGCGUUAAUCGGAAUUACUGGGCGUAAAGCGCACGCAGGCGGUUUGUUAAGUCAGAUGUGAAAUCCCCGGGCUCAACCUGGGAACUGCAUUUGAAACUGGCAAGCUUGAGUCUUGUAGAGGGGGGGUAGAAUUCCAGGUGUAGCGGUGAAAUGCGUAGAGAUCUGGAGGAAUACCGGUGGCGAAGGCGGCCCCCUGGACAAAGACUGACGCUCAGGUGCGAAAGCGUGGGGAGCAAACAGGAUUAGAAACCCCCGUAGUCC
rnacentral:rRNA from 1 species